rnacentral:rRNA from 2 species
GCAAGUCGAACGAACUCUGGUAUUGAUUGGUGCUUGCAUCAUGAUUUACAUUUGAGUGAGUGGCGAACUGGUGAGUAACACGUGGGAAACCUGCCCAGAAGCGGGGGAUAACACCUGGAAACAGAUGCUAAUACCGCAUAACAACUUGGACCGCAUGGUCCGAGUUUGAAAGAUGGCUUCGGCUAUCACUUUUGGAUGGUCCCGCGGCGUAUUAGCUAGAUGGUGAGGUAACGGCUCACCAUGGCAAUGAUACGUAGCCGACCUGAGAGGGUAAUCGGCCACAUUGGGACUGAGACACGGCCCAAACUCCUACGGGAGGCAGCAGUAGGGAAUCUUCCACAAUGGACGAAAGUCUGAUGGAGCAACGCCGCGUGAGUGAAGAAGGGUUUCGGCUCGUAAAACUCUGUUGUUAAAGAAGAACAUAUCUGAGAGUAACUGUUCAGGUAUUGACGGUAUUUAACCAGAAAGCCACGGCUAACUACGUGCCAGCAGCCGCGGUAAUACGUAGGUGGCAAGCGUUGUCCGGAUUUAUUGGGCGUAAAGCGAGCGCAGGCGGUUUUUUAAGUCUGAUGUGAAAGCCUUCGGCUCAACCGAAGAAGUGCAUCGGAAACUGGGAAACUUGAGUGCAGAAGAGGACAGUGGAACUCCAUGUGUAGCGGUGAAAUGCGUAGAUAUAUGGAAGAACACCAGUGGCGAAGGCGGCUGUCUGGUCUGUAACUGACGCUGAGGCUCGAAAGUAUGGGUAGCAAACAGGAUUAGAUACCCUGGUAGUCCAUACCGUAAACGAUGAAUGCUAAGUGUUGGAGGGUUUCCGCCCUUCAGUGCUGCAGCUAACGCAUUAAGCAUUCCGCCUGGGGAGUACGGCCGCAAGGCUGAAACUCAAAGGAAUUGACGGGGGCCCGCACAAGCGGUGGAGCAUGUGGUUUAAUUCGAAGCUACGCGAAGAACCUUACCAGGUCUUGACAUACUAUGCAAAUCUAAGAGAUUAGACGUUCCCUUCGGGGACAUGGAUACAGGUGGUGCAUGGUUGUCGUCAGCUCGUGUCGUGAGAUGUUGGGUUAAGUCCCGCAACGAGCGCAACCCUUAUUAUCAGUUGCCAGCAUUAAGUUGGGCACUCUGGUGAGACUGCCGGUGACAAACCGGAGGAAGGUGGGGAUGACGUCAAAUCAUCAUGCCCCUUAUGACCUGGGCUACACACGUGCUACAAUGGAUGGUACAACGAGUUGCGAACUCGCGAGAGUAAGCUAAUCUCUUAAAGCCAUUCUCAGUUCGGAUUGUAGGCUGCAACUCGCCUACAUGAAGUCGGAAUCGCUAGUAAUCGCGGAUCAGCAUGCCGCGGUGAAUACGUUCCCGGGCCUUGUACACACCGCCCGUCACACCAUGAGAGUUUGUAACACCCAAAGUCGGUGGGGUAACCUUUUAGGAACCAGCCGCCUAAGGUGGGACAGAUGAUUAGGG